AACGGGGCUAAUUUCAUGUUAGACGCUUUAAUUUCACGCUGCCAUUUGUGGCUUCCGUUUCGCAUGAGUUU
rfam:Drosophila persimilis strain MSH-3 cont1.005648, whole genome shotgun sequence.